UACGGGGGGGGCAAGCGUUGUUCGGAAUUACUGGGCGUAAAGGGCUCGUAGGUGGCCAACUAAGUCAGACGUGAAAUCCCUCAGCUUAACUGGGGAACUGCGUCUGAUACUGGAUGGCUUGAGUUUGGGAGAGGGACGCGGAAUUCCAGGUGUAGCGGUGAAAUGCGUAGAUAUCUGGAGGAACACCGGUGGCGAAGGCGGCGUCCUGGACCAACACUGACACUGAUGAGCGAAAGCCAGGGGAGCAAACGGGAGU
rnacentral:rRNA from 1 species